rnacentral:rRNA from 1 species
GAUGAACGCUGGCGGCGUGCCUAAUACAUGCCAGUCGAGCGAACAGACGAGGAGCUUGCUCCUCUGACGUUAGCGGCGGACGGGUGAGUAACACGUGGAUAACCUACCUAUAAGACUGGGAUAACUUCGGGAAACCGGAGCUAAUACCGGAUAAUAUAUUGAACCGCAUGGUUCAAUAGUGAAAGACGGUUUUGCUGUCACUUAUAGAUGGAUCCGCGCCGCAUUAGCUAGUUGGUAAGGUAACGGCUUACCAAGGCAACGAUGCGUAGCCGACCUGAGAGGGUGAUCGGCCACACUGGAACUGAGACACGGUCCAGACUCCUACGGGAGGCAGCAGUAGGGAAUCUUCCGCAAUGGGCGAAAGCUUGACGGAGCAACACCGCGUGAGUGAUGAAGGUCUUCGGAUCGUAAAACUCUGUUAUUAGGGAAGAACAAAUGUGUAAGUAACUAUGCACGUCUUGACGGUACCUAAUCAGAAAGCCACGGCUAACUACGUG